UACAGAGGGUGCGAGCGUUAAUCGGAGUUACUGGGCGUAAAGCGUGCGCAGGCGGUUCGCCAAGUCAGGUGUGAAAUCCCCGGGCUUAACCUGGGAAUUGCGCUUGAAACUAGCGGGCUUGAGUGUGGCAGAGGGGGGUGGAAUUCCACGUGUAGCAGUGAAAUGCGUAGAGAUGUGGAGGAACACCGAUGGCGAAGGCAGCCCCCUGGGUCAACACUGACGCUCAUGCACGAAAGCGUGGGGAGCAAACAGG
rnacentral:rRNA from 1 species